CGGACGGGUUAGUAACGCGUGGGAACGUGCCCUUCUCUGCGGAAUAGCCACUGGAAACGGUGAGUAAUACCGCAUACGCCCUUCGGGGGAAAGAUUUAUCGGAGAAGGAUCGGCCCGCGUUAGAUUAGAUAGUUGGUGGGGUAAUGGCCUACCAAGUCUACGAUCUAUAGCUGGUUUUAGAGGAUGAUCAGCAACACUGGGACUGAGACACGGCCCAGACUCCUACGGGAGGCAGCAGUGGGGAAUCUUAGACAAUGGGCGCAAGCCUGAUCUAGCCAUGCCGCGUGUGUGAUGAAGGUCUUAGGAUCGUAAAGCACUUUCGCCAGGGAUGAUAAUGACAGUACCUGGUAAAGAAACCCCGGCUAACUCCGUGCCAGCAGCCGCGGUAAUACGGAGGGGGUUAGCGUUGUUCGGAAUUACUGGGCGUAAAGCGCGCGUAGGCGGAUUGGAAAGUUGGGGGUGAAAUCCCGGGGCUCAACCCCGGAACUGCCUCCAAAACUAUCAGUCUAGAGUUCGAGAGAGGUGAGUGGAAUUCCAAGUGUAGAGGUGAAAUUCGUAGAUAUUUGGAGGAACACCAGUGGCGAAGGCGGCUCACUGGC
rnacentral:rRNA from 1 species